rnacentral:lncRNA from 1 species
AAGGUGCCAGUCAUCUCUGAGGUAUAGAAAUAGCUCCAUCUUCCUGGAAUCCAGUGUCUAGUGGAUUAUUCAUUUGGGACCUAAGUACCACUUCUGGAGGCCCCCUCCAACUGAGUAAACUGUCUUUGGAUCAGGCUUGGUUAGGUUCAACUGCAUGUAACUGCAAAUCCAAACGAAUAGAGCUUAAAAUAAGACUAGUGUUUAUUUUUCCAAUUUUAAAAAGAGAACUGGAGAUAGGCAGCUGCACAACAUCAGUGGGAAUUCUGUCUCCUUUCAGUUCACCAGCCAUCUGCUAUCCAUCAGAUGUGGCAAUAUCCUCAUGAUCUAAAGCAAUGGCUAGAGCUCCAGCCAUUCUAGGAUGCAGGAUGGAGGAAAGGAAGAAGAGCAUGUCGCCUUCCUUUCAAGGAAAUAUCCUGUUGAAGAAGCCCGGCGCGGGAGGAAAGCCAGAGACCACGAAGACGCGGGCUUCGGCUUCCUAGAGAGGAAGCACGCGACACUUGGGCGCCGUGGCCGACGUGGUGACGCACUUCCGGUCGUGCCGCAGUGCGCCUUUCCUGAGGUGAGUUUUCAGGGUUCCCGAACCGACUGGGAACACACCUGUCACCGCUGGAAAAGGCAGUCGCCUUCGUCCUUGAUGCCGUGGUGGAAGGAGUCGGGUGGCGCCACCGGGUCCGGGGAGCGAGGGCGGCCUGCUGGCCAGUUCCGCUUGCCCUCGCCCUCGGUGCCUUCAUCCCAACCCGCCGGGGCCGCCCCCGGAAAUGGGGCUGUGGAUGGAAAAAACACGCCGUUUGACUCGACACAGCCGUAACCUCCCCUGCCCCCUGGGCCGAAGACUUCUCACAGAGCAGUUAAAUGCCAGCUGCUGUUCUAGGUUCCCAAGAUGCAGCUGCGAAUGAGACGGCCUUGGGCCCCUCUCUCAGGGAGCUGUCAGUUUAAUGGAAAGUCACCUAUUAAUCCAGUGGUAUCAUUUCAUCAUUUCACUCCGCCUAACCCGAACCAGUAGUUGUGGUCUUGGUUUUACGUUGAAGACCAAGUCCUUGACGUGCAUGAGGCUCUGCGUGACUUGGUCUCUUGCACCUUCUUCACACUCAUCUUCACACUCCCCUUGGCUCGGCUACAGACUUUAACUUUACAAACAUACAUUUGCACGUGCUGUUACUUUUGUAAAGAUUUUCCUUUUGAUCUAGUUAAUUCCUAUUCUUAAGCGUCCCCAUCUACCAUAAAUUGCCCCCGACGCUAAUCACAAUUGUGGCCUUAAAAGCUAAUUAUGAGAAUCUUUGAUUGAUACCUGUGUUUCCUUUAGUCUAAAGUAAACUCCAUGAUGGAAGGGAUCACACCUUUCUUCACUGUAUCUCCCGUGCCUCACACUUGGCCUGAAAUGAAUUAAGCCUGUGAUAAAUGUUUGUUGGAUGAAGAAAACACAAAUAAGUGUAUAAUCCAAACCAGAAGAGGUGGUAUGUAAGAAAGGGAAUACAGUGCUAGUGGAGUGUGUAAUCUCAGGCCUGAUCUGGUGUGUAGAGACAGGCUAGGAUCUGAAGGGUGAACUGGUGUUAUCUAGAGAGGCCAGGCUGCUAGAGAGUUCUGCACCAGAGAACAUCAGGUACAAAAGUUCUAAGGUUGGAGAAGAGUGGUUCAUGCAGAGGAAACAGCAGGUACAAAGGUCCUGAGCUAGCAUAGUAGAGAAACUGAAGGGAGACCACCGUGGCUAAAUUAAGAGAAAGGAGGAGAUGGUAUAAGAUGAGGCUAGCAGGAAAUUGCAGUAUGCAGUGAGUUUCUUUUAGAAAGAUGCUGGCUUUUUGGUAGAACAUGACUGCUUGACAAGAAUUCAGUGUCUCUAGGGGAUGAUAUAAUUAAAGUAAUAACCUGAACAUCUUAGUAUGUUGAAGUGGCCUUUUCAUGGUCCUUUGCUAGUUGGUUUCGGGCUUUCACUGGAUCCUAGAAUGGAGUGAUGAACAAAAAAUAUGCUUGCCACAAGGUCCAAGAAAGAGAAACCUUACUCUGAGAUUCUUUUUCUGGAUUUUUUGGGCUACAUUUACCUAUUCUUAAUAUUAGCCUUAGAAUUGCUUUAUUAAGUUCUUAAAAAAUUCGAUUGGGAUUACAGUGGGAAGCAUUUUGUUGUAGUUAUUAAAAGCAUGGACUUUAGAAUUUGGCCUAUCUGGUUUGGGAUCCAGGUUCAUCCUUCCACUGACCGAGUGACCUUGGUAGAGAAAACUAUUUUCUUAGACUCUUUUUUUCUUAUUUGAGAAAAAGAAAAAGUUCAAAGGAUUAUUGUGGAGACUGAAUGAGAAGGUGUGUAUUUUUCAUCCAAAAACAUAUUUCUAUUUUUUUCUGAUUUUUAAAAUUUUUUUAAUAUUUUUAAGAAAAAUAGAUUUUUUAUUGCUCAGUCAUUUCAGAUUCGUCUGACUUACAAACUAAUAACAUAAUGUUCAAAUACAAUUUAAUGUUUUUUUCUGAUUUUUUAAAGUAUAGUUGAUUUAUAAUGUUUUCUUCAUUUUCUGUUGUACAGCAAAGUGACCUAAUCACACUCGGUUCCCUUUGCUCUAUGUAGGAGCGCAUUCAUUGCCCAUCCAUUCCAAAUGUUACAGUUUCUAUCCACCAACCCCAAACUCCCCGUCCAUCCCACUUCCUCCCACUGUGGGUAUUUUUUUUUAAUUUUUAUAUUUCUCAAUACAUUUUUUUUAAAUAAAGGUCUAGGUUUCCUGUUGUUAUGGCUUGCUUUGAGUUUUCUGGUGUCUUUUGCUUGUUUUGCUCUUUGCGUAUUCAUGUUUCCCUGUCUUCAUGUCUUAGGACAGGCAGUGUUGAAUGAUGCUGGUGAGUACAGGGUGCCCAAGGGCAGGUUACAUACCUUUCAAAUUAACGGUUUCCUCAGAAUUCAAACCUUGAGGAAUAGUGUGGAGUAAAAGAGGAGAUAUUUAUAUACCAUUUACUGAAGGACAUUUAGUAAGUGAUUGCAGCUGCUGUUAUUGGCAGGUUAUUUUAAAGGAGAGCCUUUGGGGAGUUCCCACUGUGGCUCAGCGGUAAGGAACCUGACUAGUAUCCAUGAGGAUGUGGGUUCGAUCCCUGGCCUUGCUCAGUGGGUUAAGGAUCUGGUGCACUGCCCCAAGCUGCGGUGUAUGUUGCAAAUGUGGCUCAGAUCCACUGUUACUGUGGCUGUGGUGUAGGCUGGCAGCUGUAGUUCCGAUUCGAUGCCUAGCCUGGGAACUUCCAUAUGCCAAGGGUGCGGACCUAAGUGGACCUUAAAAAAAAAAAA